CACACAGUGGGCUUCAACUCCGGAUCAAGGAGUAAAAUUACCUCUGAGCUGCAGUGAGACGGUACCCCAGGGCGGGAUUAGGGUUACUGCUGACACAGGGUGGGAUGCUGCAGAGCUGCCCUCAGUCCUGUGUUGGCCUUUGGAGAAAUUGGGCAGUUGUCUCUGAGCAGGAAAGUGGAGAGCAACAACAAAAAUUCCUUAUGUGCAUAACUCAGCGCAGAGCUCUGAACCACACUGCUCUUUUGUUUUCAAGUGGUAAGGCAUUAAAAUCGGGUUGUUUUGUUUUUUUAAUGGCUAAAUUUAAAUAAAACUUCCCUGUAAGAGGAACAAAAAAAUGGCCAUAAAACAAUGGAUCCUUGCAUUUCUCAGCUGAGAAUCCCCCGCGGGAGCAAUGGUCACCUCUGCUGUCACAAAACCGCUGCAGCAUCACAUGCAAAAUUCUGCAGAGCACAGGGAUCAACCCAGGCAGCAGCCAGCAAAAGGCAUCACCCAACUCCUUUGCACACCUUAUUUCUGUUGCAUUCAUAGCAGGUCAACUUUUGGCAUUUCUCAGAUCCCUUUUGCUCUCUGCAUCUUGCUUUUAACCCAGCUAUCCGGGUUUGGCACAGCCCUGACACACAGCGUCACAUCUCUCCAAGGCAAUGCAAGGUGGUGAUGGCCACAGCCAGCCCUGCACUGGCCCUGCACUGGCUGUGGUCUUCUUCCUUUUAAUGCUCCAAAACUCAGCCCCAGGAUUGGGAACGCUUACGGGACUGGGAAUGAUUAGAGCUCAUUUGAUGACCCCGAGGACUUUGCAUGUCCGCACAGAAGGCAAAGCGUAGGGAUGGGGCCGCGCCGGUGACCUCCCAGCAGAGCCAUUCCUACAGCCAGGCAGGAAUUUUAUUUUACUUUCUUUUUAAACUGUUUCUCACUUGGAAAACACCAAUUGGUUGAAACUUCAACUUUACGCAGGAUUAUAGAAAUGUAGGUCAGGAAGAAAGCAUCCAAGUGAAAAGCUCCUUGUUCCUCACCCUCCCCAGCACCCCAGCUUGCUGUUGGACGCAGGGCUUUGUACCACUUCUGUGUAUUUCCCAGUGAUUCCAGGUGAUUUCCAUGCCCAUAUGGCCGGGUACCAACAGAGCCCAAGCAGCAACAUCUUCCUUUCAUUGCUGCUCAACAGCAUAGGUGCACAAAGACAGAUUUCUAGACAAAAUCCACUUUCCAGAAUGGAUGAUUUACCCAUGAGAGGAGCCCCGGCUGCCCCCAGCCCUCUCCCCACUGCUGCCCACCAGAGCCAGGGAACCACUGAUCCCUUUUCAACACCUCCCAGCACUGUAGCAGUAAUUUAUGGGGUUCAUUUCGGCGCUGUGCUCAGCGCCCACCUCGCAGGCACCCGCAGCAGGCACUGAGCUCACCGCAGCGCAACACGGCCACGCUCUGCAGCUUUAUGUUUGUUUGCUUUAAUUGAGAAAGGACCGGGGGAAAAGAAAAAAAAAAAAGUCUGAAAAAAGAAAAAAAAAAAUCAACAAAAAACCUUCUUUCAACCCCCUGGUUUCAUUUUUCAGGUGCCUUGAUUUAUUAAUCUGCCCGUUCCCAUUUAAUAGGCUCUCCUUGCCGGAGCACCAGCGCAACCCCAGGCCUGCAGCUGCCAACCCAUCCCCAGCCCUGCACACCCCUGCCUGGCAGGCAGCUCCCAACUCUCUGCUCCAGUUCGCAGCAUGCUCACAGUGCAGGCAGAUGUCAAGUUUCCAAGAAAGAUAUUUUCAUGUAAUACUGGGAGGAUCACAGGCACUAAAUAUGAUUUCAUUUUUAAAGCCACACACUCUUUGGCAUGGUUUUAAAACCCAUCCUCUGUCCUCAGAGAGGAAAUACCAUCAGUGCUCCAAGAAACUCAAACAGGUGAUCUUCACCCAUAAUGCUCCAAGAAACCCAAACAAGGGAUCUUCACCCUACGCUCACAAGCAUCACGACAAACCCCACUGAAUGUGCCACAGCAUCACACCCACUUUCUCCUAUGCACAGCCACAUGGAGCUGAGUUUGAUGUUCUGAUUCAAGGCAUGAGACCAUCACGAGCAAACAUCCCCCAACAACCAAUUAUAGCCCUUGGGUGCCCCCAUCUGCCCAGCCUUUCUCCCACCACCCUCCUCUUUCCCACUUCCCAUGCCUUGGGCACAAUCCAGGGCACAGUGCCCAUAAGGAGAACUCCCAGAGGAUGAGAUCAACAUCUCAUUUAAUUAAAUUUUGCCUUCUAGAUCAAGUAAAGAGCACUCAGCCCAGCCCCAGCAUACUGGGUUUGGACUCCUAGGGAGGACACAGAUGCUGGAGGUUGAUCCAAUUUCCAGGAGGGCUCUCGGAUGAGACUGAAAACUUUGGGUCCACAUGCAUUAUAGGUGCUGAUCCACAACCCAAUAACCCAUCCCAUGGGAAAGACUCAAUGAAACAAAUCACAAGUGACACAGACCACAUGGUCCCAAGCCUAGAUCUGCACCAGGCAGUCCAUUUGUUACAGAUUAUCCCCCCCCACUCCCCCCUUCCACAACUGCCCAUGAAGAAGAGCCAAAAUCCCCAUGGCAAUUUGUACGACCUCGAGCAAUAAGAGUAAGCUGAAAAACUGGAAAUCCAUCCCUACCUGCAGCCCUUCACCAGGCCCUGGGACAUAAGGGACAUCUGCCAGCCCAGCUCCAGCCGUUCAAGGCUCCUUAAAGCCUUCAGUAAGGAUGUGCAGGGAAGCGGUGGAGUCACCAUCCCUGGAGAUGGUCAACCUUCACGAUCCUACAAUUCUAUGAUGAUACUAAACCCGCAGACCCCUGAGCAGCAGAGGGGACACAGACAGGAGCAAAUCCCCCUGGACAUGACCAUCACCACAAGGCCCACAGCCACCUUGAGGUCCCAUUGCUGCACCCCACAGGUGCUCCCCCUGCCCACUGGCGCAACUACACUGGCUUAGAGUAGAGCUGCUCACAGCCACGUUUUUCAUCAGCACAGCAAGCAGGCUUGGCCUCUCAACACCCAGAGCUCUUUUAAAUAAUGUACAUAUAUAUCAGUCUAGCUAUGCUGCUGGCUGGGCCCCAGAUGACUGCGACCAGGGCCAAUCCCCAGGAUAAACAUAGCCUACCUGGGUUUAUAAGUGCCAGAAGCAUGUAGGCACCAUGCGUGAUCUCUUAUAUAAACAGCACUGCAAAAACAGCCCUGAGCACUGUAGGAACACUUGUAGUACGCACUGUACAAGAGAUGAAGUGUUUGGGAACAUUACUGCAACGUAUCCCAGGGGGAGAUGCUUCCCCCCUCUCCUGCCCCAUGCACCAGCCUUAAAGGCUCAGGGCAGCUUCUGCCUGCUGGCCCCAGGAGUGAUGCUCAGUGCCCAGAGGAUGCUGCACUGCAGCUCAGGAUGCUCUCAGCAUCACAUUUACCAGGGAAGGGAUGCACGGUACAAAUCAUGCUGGGCAGGCACGGAGCUGGGAUGCAGCGGAGCAAUCAGACUCAGAGCUCUGGGAAGGGGAAGAGCUGCAUAUAAAGCUCUGAGAUGGCCCAGAGCUAUGGGAGAUGCUGUGUCCUUACUCGUGGGACAGACACUUCCAGCUUCAGCAUCACUGAGUUUUGUGUUUUCUUCCCCAAGAGAAAACACAAAACCCACGCACAGGCAGAACAAUUCAGGCUGCACUCAUCUUUUCGCCUCGAGUUAUUUCAAAGCCCUGCACCACUCCACCCUUUCUCCUUCUAACCCCUCAUUUAUAAGGCUGGGUUAAAGAGGUGCAUGUACUGCAGGGCUCAGCCCACUCUCCCUACUCUUCCCGGCAUGGAUUUGGAGACCAAGGGCUCUCCAGAUCUAAUCUCCAAGACAAACAUCGUGGGGCUGGAGCUUGCUCCAUUUGCACUUCGAUCACAGAUAGGAAGCAGCAGCAGGCAGCUCACGCCUGUGCCCAACCCACUCCACAGCAGUGUUACGUCCCCUCAUCCCUCCAUGCACACAGUGUCAUUAAAUGUCCAGCUUUGCAAUGAAUCUGUGAUGGAUGGCUUGGGGUCAACUGAGAGCACAGAAAUCGUACAAUCACCGAGGUUGGAAAAGACCUCUAAGAUCCCCAAGCCCAUCCCACUGUGCCCAUAACCACCUCCCUCAGUGCCACAUCCCCACAGUUCUGGAGCACCUCCAGGGACGGUGACCCCACCGCUCCCCGGGCAGCUGUGCCACUGCCCCACAGUGACAGAGCCCCAUCCGAAGGGGACAGACUGCUGCAGGCACAUCCCUUCCCAGUGCCAGCAGCAGGUGCUGGCUGGGACCCGUGGGAAGAGCUCUGUCAUCUGUCCCCAGGGACCACCCUGCUGCAGCGUCACCCCAGGGCUCGGUCACAUGCCCUGUCUGGGCACAAGCUGCCCACGUCCUUGGUCUGCAGAGAGCAAACAUUGGGUUAUCUCCUGUAGGCAAACAAAUGGGCCAUUAAGCGACAGGACUCAGACAAUAUUUAAUUACCCCAAUCGUGGGAAGGGGGCGGCAGGGGGGGAGGCAGAAACUGCAGGGGAAAUUCCACCAGCAAAGAUUAAACGGAGCUGCAAACCAGAGCUGACAGGUUAACAGACAGGUAAUAUCCCAGCGGUGUUUGCUCAGCCAGGCAGGACGUGGCAUUGCCACAUCUCAAACAGCAGCAGGGCAGAGCACAGCACCAACAGCACAUCAGCCAACCUCUCAGAUCCUUCACGGACCUCCGGCACUGCGUCCCCAUAACUCAGCGGGGCCAACACAGAAGGCUUGAACACCUUUGGGCAGAACACCUACCCAAAAACCUCUUCCAGCAGCUCCCGCAUCCCCAGCAGGCUCCAUCCAUCCAUCCAUCCAUCCACGGCGCAGCAUUGAGUGUGAGCCUCUCAGGUCCGCCUCCCCUCCUCCCUUGCUGGGUCCCAUGAGCACUUUGGAAACCCCAACCCACAGGUGAGGAGCACGGGCUGCUGAGCACCACCCAAGUCGCGAUGUGCGGCGGGAGCUAACGAGUGAUUAAUAGAGGUUACAAGGUUGCAUCAGACAGACAGGAAUGUGUUAUGAAGGGCAAUGAGCACAUCAGCAAAAGGUGUUAAAGAGCCCGACAGGUUGUUUAUAACCCUCCAUGAACAAGCGAUUAACCAUUAAUCCUCUGUUAGCACCACUCUGCACAAGCAGGGCUCCCUGCAGCAGAGCAGCCACCAGCUCUGCAGAGGUGUUCAGGAAGAGCAGAAAACAGAGCAACCCCAUCAGAUGUGGGUCACAUAUCUCCCAAUGGAACAACCCAGGGUCCCACAGCACUGGGUUGUGCUCCAAGGGGGUUCCUUGGUGCUCACCCAGCUCCUUCCCAGCAGUUGGUCCCAUCCUCCUCCACCUGCAUCCUAUCAAGGAUGCUCUCGGCCAGCCUCAACAUGUUUGAAGAACAAGGCAUCUCUAUUUAGAUCCAUUAUAGAAGAAAGCUCUCUACCCCCACUUUGGGCUGCCCAUUGCAGGGCUGGAGGGAAGCAGCAUGCAGCUGAGCUCCUUUCUGCAAACAGAGCUGGGGCUGAGCAAGCAGCUGGGCAGGGCUGCAGCAGGAGGGCACUGUGAGGGCUAUGCACAGAGGGUGGGAAGCUCUCUGCAGCUCCCACCCUGCAGCCGCUACACCCUGUCAUCCUGCAAACGCUCACAGCUCCCCAGACCAGCCAAAACCUCUUGGAACAAGUUCCAGGAGCUGCAGAAAGCAGGUUUUAUGAGCAUCCGGAUGAGCCUGGGCCAAGAAGGGGAGGUCAGCACAGAGCUCGUUCUACCUGUACUGACAUCACGGCAUCCCUUUUCCAAGUGCUGCAAGGGAUGCCAAAGAACAUAGAAACAAAACCCAGCCCUUAUGCAGCCAACCUGAGCCAAGCAUCGGAUGGGAGAUGCCCCAGCAGCACCGCUCUCAGCUGUCCAUCUGCUUCGGUAUAACCAUACGGACUGCAGUUAUCUGCCAGGUACUCCAUUCCAGUGCUGCCAGCAGCAGCUGCUUCCUCUUGCACAGUCCCAGCAAGACUACGGGACAAAAAGCUAAACCUGAAGUGGCAGACUGGGCCACCCAUCCUCAGAUGUGCUCAGAGCCCCAAAGGCAAAGCACUUCCCAGGAUGCAGGGGAUGCUGUGGUGAGGGAACCUGCUCCCCAUUCAGUUAUAUCUGUGCCUGAACUUUGUUUUCAGACAUUUGCUCAUCACAUCCCACCACCUCUCCCCAGCUCAGUCUCUGGGCAAACAGUAGGAAAAACAGAGGAGAAAAAGAGACAGGAAACCUUGUCAGGUGGAAGUCAGAGAGGGAAAAAGUGCUCCAAAAGUAAGUAUCCUAAUAGCUCCAUAAUCAUCACAGUGCCUCACUGUUCUGCUGAAGAGCCUGGAUGCACUGGGCUGUCAUAAGACAUGAGCUCAGUGCUCUGUUCCAGGCAGAGAUUUUGCACAUGGACUCUUGAGUAACUGAAGUGACUUGCAAGUCCCAGUGUUCUUAACCAGGAGGCUUUAGGAAAUCCCAUUCCUAAUCCUUCCGUGCUGUACAAGCUGCCCUUCCUUCUGCAAAAAAAGGGGAUCAUAUCUUCCUGCUCCAUGGGAAUGUUGCUAACCCAGUUGUUGAGCAGUAAUAAGAGCGUGGAAUGAACCAAGCACAGAGCUCUGCAAGGAACUGCACCCAAACUGCCCCAGCAGAGCUCCUUUACUGUCCUCUACCCCAGCAAUAAGGGGUGCAUGGCUCUUAAGAGGGGAACACCGCACCCAGAGAUACUGGCAGUACCCAGAGCAGGAGCAGCAACCAAGGUCAUGGCAUGAGGCAGACAAGGGGCAGAGCAGGCAGCCCAGCAAGCUGAAGCUACUGCAGAAGACUGCAGCCACUGCCUCCUACGGGCAUUUUGCACGUUUAUCAUAUUUGAUUUUUGUUUGCCAUGAGAAAUAAAAGGGGGUGUGCUUCAGCUUCUACUGCACAGACAGAAACGCAGACCAAGCGCCCCAGCUGAGGAAGCCCACAGCUCCCAGGAGACCAAAGGUGCAGCUCCUCAGGCCCUGUGCUCAGCCACCACUUUCCUCAAUGACUUUGGACAAACGGCUUCAGAGCCUCAGUUUCCCCUCUUGAGAAAUGAAAAGGGGCCAUUGCUGCGCCCACCCAAGAGGCUGCACCCACCAGUGCUUUGCACAACACUGAUCCCAUGGCACACAGAGUGUGAGAACACCACAGCACGGGGCUGCUUCGGCGAUUAAGAAAUCCAAGCUGAGUCACAGAGUCAGAGCUGCAGGUUCCCAAAGCGCACACCAGCAACCAAACCGCUUCCCAAAGCAGCAGCACAAGGGCUGGGUACCUCCAGGUACCACCAGCUCACCUCCACCAGGCUGGGACCAUCCCCUGCAGGGAGCCGGGAUGCUCAGGUGAACAUAUCUGCAUCCCAGAUGGGCAUUUCCAACCACACACACCCAAAACAAGUUGCUUUGCCACACCUCCUGCAGAAGAGGUCGUAAAAGCUCAGCUCAUCCCUGCAGAAAGCUCUGCAGGGGGUGCUCAGUUCUCCUUGCCCUUUAAAUCAUUUUCUUCUCCCUUCCUCCUGCCCACACCCACUCAUUCAGCGAUAUUUAUUAUCGCUACUGAUUUCCUAAUCUCCAGCACAUGAUGCAAGAACAGAACUCGGAACAAUGUCACAUAUUAAAACCCAGCCACAAAGUGGAGAUUUGGGAAAGCUCCGCACGAUAACUACCUGAGAAAAACAGCACCGGAGCAGCAAGUCCUCCUCCUCCAACCAGAGCAUUGGCAGCAGGCAUAGCCCAUGCUGGGGCAGAGGAAAAGGUUGGAGGUAAAAUGCAAAUUGCUUCUCCCUGCUCCCCCAGGGUCGUCUCCAUCAGGCACUGCCAAUGUGCCAGGCAGGAGCCCAGCAGGGACCUCUAAGGGCACUCGGAGCCCCAUCCUUCCAUGGGAAGGACUUCACCUAAGGUUGAAGGAUGCUGACGGAGGACGCACUGCUGUAGGCAGGUGGGACAGCUCUGCUGCUGCAGCCUCAGACCCCAGACAUCAGCCUGGACAUCACCAAACGUGGCUCAGUUACACCCUCUUGAUGCAUUCAAGGCCAGGCUGGAUGUGGCUCUGGGCAGCCUGGUCUGGUGGUUGGCAACCCUGCACAUAGCAGGGGGUUGGAACUGGGUGAUCACUGGUCCUUUUCAACCCAGGCCAUUCUAUGAUUCUUCACAUUUAUCUGGCAUUUACCAAAGUUUGGUGCAAACCCCGACCUGCCCUUUCCUCCAAGGGAAGGUGAUUCCUCCUGCAGCUGCUCCAGGCAGAGCUCCUUCCUCAGGGCAGAGAAAAGGCUGAAAGGGAAGAACAGGAACUGCUGCAGAUGGGGUAGUGGUGCAGCUCCUUCAGAUCCAAAGAAACUUCAGAAGGACAACACCAGGGAGGUCGGUGGCCAGGAGACAACGACAACAAAAGCCCCACACGAAGCCAAGCAUGGCAGGUGAAGGGAAACAACACAGGAAGAACAGAGUGGGGGAGAGGGAUGGAUGAGGAGGGCACAGACUGGAAAAAAAGAGAGGGUUCCAACUGAAGCAAAAUCCCCAUCCUGCUGCUGGAACCUCCCGCAUGCAGCAGGCACUUGUGAAUACUAAUCAGAGCUGAAGAAAUAUCAGACAAUUAAGGAAGGAAAGUCUCUUGGCAGGGUUUCUCCUGGAGACGUCGGACUGGUUUUGUUUAUGAGCGAGAGGAAGUGGUAACCGCUCCUGUUUGUUCUUCGGAAGAAAAGAGAAAGCCUCAGUACUUUAAUUCCUCUGCUGAGAGCCCUGGAGAUUUGGCCUCCGAGGGAUCCAAACGGCUGAUCCAGAUUCACCCUCAGCCUUUUGUUGCAAGAAAAUAUUUUAGUCAUUUUUCUCCCUCCCCUUCUUCUGCGUGGGGAAGGAAAGCAGAGGAGGAUACAAAGAGGCGUUUUUGUUUGCUGAACGUAUCAGUGAGAAGAGCGUUCCAAAGGACUGCGGUGCAGCACAGCUCCCAGCACAUCGAGGUGUCUUUGUGGGGCAGAUGUGCACCUCAGAACCUCCUUCACCUUAGGGAGGCACACAAGAGAACACAGCGAGCUAGAUAAGCAUCCAUUGCCUUGUGGGGAAACGUGAGGGCAGAGAGAGCCAGGGGGUGCCCAGCACAGGGCUCCCAUCGCUGCCAUGCAGAGCAGGACACGGCCACUCAUUGACUUGAGGGCACAGCCUCCAGCUGCCGGUGGCUUUUAGAGCAUCCCAGAUCAGCAGCCGUCCCCCCCCAGGCAGCCCUCCUGCAGCCGCCAUGGACAAGCUGUGACCCCCGUGGCACAAAGAGCCCAGAGUUUUUGGGAAGGAGUGCGCUACCCAAAUGCAUUCACCGUGGAAACCCGGCUCCGGGAUGGUAGCACCGGUGGAAUCUGCCACUGGCUCCAGCUAUGGAGGAGGCAGCCUGGACAGUGAAAUCUUUCAAUGCGAAUGGUGCCGACCAAGCAGUCUGGAACUGAUCUGGAAGUGCUUUUUGAGGCAGCCAAACACGCUGCUUUAUCCUGUAAUUAUUCACCCGCUCCCAGACAGCACAACGUGGAAGUGCUGAGCCAGACGGCGCUCCCAGCCCCUCUUCACCUGAGGAAGCCGGGCCAGAGAAGUUAAGGACAGCAGAGCAGCAGCCUUCCUAACGUAUUUUCUUUGGGGAGAGCAAAGCUGGAGGUGGGGGCCUGCUCAGUGCACGCUCAAGAGGACACAAAACAAAUGGCUCUGCUGAAGCUUUUCAGACAGAGCUAUUAAGCUGUACGUGUCAAUUGGUUUUGGCUGAAGCCAGAUCCAUAGGGGUCAUACUUACAGGCCGACAGGUCUGCUCGCUCCCCAGCCCAAUCCUGCACUGCCAUCAUACCCUGUGAGAUUAGGACCUGCUGGCUGUCCCACAAACCCGGGUAAAGGGAGCAGAUGGGCCUCACACAGCCUGUUUGGGUACCUGCAGUCACUGAGCAAACUCGUGAGGGAUUCAGCUCGGGUCCCAAAGCACCACCCAGCACUCCCAGCAGCGGGUCGGCCGCCAGCCCAGCACUCCCUGGGAGCCACAGUGGUGUACUCUGCACCCAAACCAGCACGGGGUAUGAGGACAUUCCCGGUCCUACCCUACCUCUCUUCUCCUGCAUUGCAAGAAGCCGUUUGCCACCUCUUCCCUGCCUGCGAACUCGACUUCCAGAACAGCUCUGCAGCACUCCGGGGAGCAGAGGGACCGACACCCCGAAGCGCUGCGAUCCACCCCGCGGCUCCGAGCCCGGGGACAGCGGAGUCCUCCAGCGGCGGAGCCACAGCUCCACCAAGUGGCGAAACCGCAGUGCCACCCGGCGGUCGGAGCCACAGCG
ensembl:lncRNA